ACAAAAGUACUUUUUAGAUUAUUAACGCCAUAUUUCAUAUAAAAGCACUUAAAAAAAAAAAAUAAAAACUUACAAUUUCUCUAUUUUAUUAUUUUAUAAAAACACGGACGACGUUCUCUACGAAAAUAUGUCGUCUAUGUAUUAAUCGAAAAAUCACAAUAUAACUUUUUUGAGGCCUUUUCUAUUUAGUUUCAAUUGGUAUCAACACCAGAUUUUUGAGUCACUUCUGAGCUUUUAAGGAAAUUUACUUUAGGAUAGAGUUUUUUAACGGAAAAAAAGCUUAAAUCCGAAAAAUAACAAUAUAGCCUUUUCGUGGCCUUUAUGAUUUACUUUCAAACGGUAUCAACUUCACUCAGAAGAGUCAUUCAUCAAGCAAAGAUAUAUCUGUUAGAAAAGAUAUACCAUUUUAUGACGAAAUAAAAUCACCCUGUGUAUUAUAUGUACCUAACUUUUCACUUAUAACGGAGGCCCCUCCUAUAUUUAGUACCACCUCUAUUAUUAAGAUUAAGUACAAAAUAUAAGAGUUUCAUUUAACUGUCUACAAUUAAAUUACUUUGCAUUUGUUUGCAGCCACUGUUGUUGUAGGUGGAAAAUUAGGAAUGUAAAAUUCAGACUGAAAUAUAAUGUAAAUCUGUAAGCAUCGAAAACCAUUGCUAUCGAAAAAACGAUUCUGAAAGAGGUUUACUGCAACUUCACUCAGAAGAGUCUUUCAUCAAGCAAUGAUAUAUCUGUAAGAAAAGAAAUACCAUUUUUUGACGAAAUGAAAUCACCCUGUGUAUUAUAUGUACCUAACUUUUCACUUAUAACGGAGGCCCCUCCUAUAUUAAGUACCACCUCUAUUAUUAGGAUUAAGUGCAAAAUAUAAGAAUUUCAUUUAACUGUCUUCAAUUAAAUUACUUUGUUUAUGUGAAAAUUUUCGUUUAAAAACAUGAAUUCUCAACAUUUCUGGAUAAUAGUUACGCUAACCAGGAAAAUUGGACAAUGUUAAUAGUUAUUUUUUAAAUAAAGUAGAAGUUUUUGUUAAAAUUCUGUGUAUUCCGGUAUGCAUUUAAAUAAUAUUCUCCCUGUUUUUCCCAUUCAUUAGUGUGCAUGCGUUAAUCAAGGCCUGGUGACAACAAAAUGUUUGUAGCUGACUUUUGAUCUAUUGAAUUUAUUAGUAGGGAUUUGACUAUAAUAAAAUAUAAUUUAAUUAUAUAAUAAUAUUAUUAACAAAAGUAUUUGUGUUACUUAUUACCAUUUGUAAUAACAAGUACUAGCUCCUAAUAAUAGGACGGUAUUACGGUUUUUGAAUUUUUUAGCAGGGAUUAUGGGAUUAGUCAUACGAACAACUAAUGACAAAGUAGAGAUUAUCUCAUCGACAUGCAAUCGCAAGCUAAUGGCAAAUUUUGCUCUCUUAUGUUUUAUUCAGUCAAUUUAACAAAAUGUAUUCAGUCGCGGGCAUAAAAGUCAAAAAACGGCCAAAGAAGUGGUGACUAAUAUUUUGGAUAUAUUUUGUAUUUUUGGAGCACCGGUUAUUUUACCAACCCACAUUGGGUGUCAAUACUACAGUACAAGUAUUAACGAUUUGAAAAUUAUGGAAAAGAUGAUGUUUGAAACCGUGAAUAUAAAAAAAUAAUAGAGAUAACAAUACUCAAGAGGUAAAUGAAUAAUGUUGUUCGAAAGCAACACAUUAAGCAUCUGCAACUACUGUUUAGGUUUUGAAAAAAAGGUAUUGUUGGAGCGAGUGAGCAAACUGUGUAUGCUUUUACUGGGCGAAUUCAGAGAAUUGAUUUAAUUUCGAUGCGAAUGGUGUACUUAAGCGUUCCGUGGUCUCUCACACCGACGACUCCCACUUCUCCAUGGUAGCUACGUGGGCGUGUCUAUGUGAGCGACACCCGUAAAAUAUAUUUUAAAUUGAUAUGUGUGCUAGUAGGAUGGUAACACUGUUUAAGAGAUACUUGUGAUAAACUCGUUUAUUAUACAAGCAUUAAAUAUUCAAUAUAUUACUUGGUAGUACAUGUCAAAAUAACAUUUAUAGAAACUGCAAAUCUAAUAUCUGCCAAUGUCGGUGAAGGAUACAAAAAGUGUUCAUGUAAAGAAAAAUGUAAUACCAAUCGGUGUAAGUGUAAAUCAUCUAGCAAUUUUUACAAUUCGAAAUGUCAUGGAAGCAUAACAUAUAAUAAUAAAGGAU
rnacentral:lncRNA from 1 species